rnacentral:rRNA from 1 species
GAGCUUCCGUUGAAUGACGUGCUUGCACUGAUUUUAACAUUGAAGCGAGUGGCGAACUGGUGAGUAACACGUGGGAAAUCUGCCCAGAAGCAGGGGAUAACACUUGGAAACAGGUGCUAAUACCGUAUAACAACAAGAACCGCAUGGUUCUUGUUUGAAAGGUGGCUUCGGCUAUCACUUCUGGAUGAUCCCGCGGCGUAUUAGUUAGUUGGUGAGGUAAAGGCCCACCAAGACAAUGAUACGUAGCCGACCUGAGAGGGUAAUCGGCCACAUUGGGACUGAGACACGGCCCAAACUCCUACGGGAGGCAGCAGUAGGGAAUCUUCCACAAUGGACGAAAGUCUGAUGGAGCAAUGCCGCGUGAGUGAAGAAGGGUUUCGGCUCGUAAAACUCUGUUGUUAAAGAAGAACACUUCUGAGAGUAACUGUUCAGAAGUUGACGGUAUUUAACCAGAAAGCCACGGCUAACUACGUGCCAGCAGCCGCGGUAAUACGUAGGUGGCGAGCGUUGUCCGGAUUUAUUGGGCGUAAAGCGAGCGCAGGCGGUUUCUUAAGUCUGAUGUGAAAGCCUUCGGCUCAACCGAAGAAGUGCAUCGGAAACUGGGAAACUUGAGUGCAGAAGAGGACAGUGGAACUCCAUGUGUAGCGGUGAAAUGCGUAGAUAUAUGGAAGAACACCAGUGGCGAAGGCGGCUGUCUGGUCUGUAACUGACGCUGAGGCUCGAAAGCAUGGGUAGCAAACAGGAUUAGAUACCCUGGUAGUCCAUGCCGUAAACGAUGAGUGCUAGGUGUUGGAGGGUUUCCGCCCUUCAGUGCCGCAGCUAACGCAUUAAGCACUCCGCCUGGGGAGUACGACCGCAAGGUUGAAACUCAAAGGAAUUGACGGGGGCCCGCACAAGCGGUGGAGCAUGUGGUUUAAUUCGAAGCAACGCGAAGAACCUUACCAGGUCUUGACAU